GAUGAACGCUAGCGGCAGGCUUAACACAUGCAAGUCGAGGGGUAGUCUAGCAAUAGAUGAGACCGGCGCACGGGUGCGUAACGCGUAUGCAAUCUACCUUUUACAGAGGGAUAGCCCAGAGAAAUUUGGAUUAAUACCUCAUAGUAUAACGACUCGGCAUCGAGAUGUUAUUAAAGUUCCAACGGUAAAAGAUGAGCAUGCGUCCCAUUAGCUAGUUGGUGUGGUAACGGCACACCAAGGCAACGAUGGGUAGGGGUCCUGAGAGGGAGAUCCCCCACACUGGUACUGAGACACGGACCAGACUCCUACGGGAGGCAGCAGUGAGGAAUAUUGGUCAAUGGGCGCAAGCCUGAACCAGCCAUGCCGCGUGCAGGAAGACGGCCCUCUGGGUUGUAAACUGCUUUUGAUAGGGAACAAAUGCCACUUGCGAGUGGAGCUGAGUGUACCUAUAGAAUAAGCACCGGCUAACUCCGUGCCAGCAACCGCGGUAAUACGGAGGAUCCAAGCGUUAUCCGGAAUCAUUGGGUUUAAAGGGUCCGUAGGCGUUUAUAAGUCAGUGGUGAAAGCCCAUCGCUCAACGAUGGAACGGCCAUUGAUACUGUAGAUCUUGAAUUAUUAGGAAGUAACUAGAAUAUGUAGUGUAGCGGUGAAAUGCUUAGAGAUUACAUGGAAUACCAAUUGCGAAGGCAGGUUACUACUAAUGGAUUGACGCUGAUGGACGAAAGCGUGGGUAGCGAACAGGAUUAGAUACCCUGGUAGUCCACGCCGUAAACGAUGGAUACUAGCUGUUCGGAGCAAUCUGAGUGGCUAAGCGAAAGUGAUAAGUAUCCCACCUGGGGAGUACGUUCGCAAGAAUGAA
rnacentral:rRNA from 1 species